AGAGUUUGAUCAUGGCUCAGAACGAACGCUGGCGGCGUGCUUAACACAUGCAAGUCGAGUGCGCGCCUGUAGCAAUACAGGUGGCGCACGGCGCACGGGUGCGUAACACGUGGGUAAUCUGCCCUCUGAUGGGGAAUAACUCGCCGAAAGGCGAGCUAAUUCCGCAUAACAUUCCGGGAACCUUGGUUCUUGGACUCAAAGGCGUAAGUCGUCGGAGGAGGAGCCCGCGCACGAUUAGCUAGUUGGUGAGGUAAUGGCUCACCAAGGCUAUGAUCGUUAGCUGGUCUGAGAGGAUGGCCAGCCACACUGGAACUGAGACACGGUCCAGACUCCUACGGGAGGCAGCAGUGGGGAAUCUUGCACAAUGGGCGAAAGCCUGAUGCAGCGACGCCGCGUGGGGGAUGAAGCUUCUCGGAGUGUAAACCCCUUUCGACCCGGACGAAUACCUCGCAAGAGGGGUGACGGUACGGGUAUAAGAAGCCCCGGCUAACUACGUGCCAGCAGCCGCGGUAAGACGUAGGGGGCCAGCGUUGUUCGGAAUUACUGGGUGUAAAGGGUUCGUAGGCGGUGUGGCAAGUCGGGAGUGAAAUCUCUGGGCUCAACCCAGAGUCUGCUUCCGAAACUGCUGUGCUUGAGUGUGGGAGAGGCGCGUGGAAUUGCAGGUGUAGCGGUGAAAUGCGUAGAUAUCUGCAGGAACACCCGUGGCGAAAGCGGCGCGCUGGACCACUACUGACGCUGAGGAACGAAAGCUAGGGGAGCAAACAGGAUUAGAUACCCUAGUAGUCC
rnacentral:rRNA from 1 species